rnacentral:rRNA from 1 species
GAUGAACGCUGGCGGCGUGCCUAAUACAUGCAAGUCGAGCGAACAUACGAGGAGCUUGCUCCUCUGACGUUAGCGGCGGACGGGUGAGUAACACGUGGAUAACCUACCUAUAAGACUGGGAUAACUUCGGGAAACCGGAGCUAAUACCGGAUAAUAUAUUGAACCGCAUGGUUCAAUAGUGAAAGACGGUUUUGCUGUCACUUAUAGAUGGAUCCGCGCCGCAUUAGCUAGUUGGUAAGGUAACGGCUUACCAAGGCAACGAUGCGUAGCCGACCUGAGAGGGUGAUCGGCCACACUGGAACUGAGACACGGUCCAGACUCCUACGGGAGGCAGCAGUAGGGAAUCUUCCGCAAUGGGCGAAAGCUUGACGGAGCAACGCCGCGUGAGUGAUGAAGGUCUUCGGAUCGUAAAACUCUGUUAUUAGGGAAGAACAAAUGUGUAAGUAACUAUGCACGUCUUGACGGUACCUAAUCAGAAAGCCACGGCUAACUACGUG